CUUUUUUGGCUCCGUCAGAAACUAAGUAAAAGUCGGACUAUGUGAAGCAAAGCCCAGAAAAUGCCUGGGCUUUUUUAGAUCGCUUCGAUAAAUUUUUUUUUAGCUCACAUCACUGGGCCACCAGGUCGCAGAUUUCAGAAACCUGGUUUUCGGAAACAGAGAUCUCCAGGACAGGGCCCCGAGCUUCGGGGGGAGCGUUCCCCAGCUGGACCUAAGCAUAGUGGGCCAGGCCCCGGGCGGAAAGACGCUCCUGGAGCCGAGAUACAGGGGUGGCUCGCCGCGCGACUUACCCGAUUUCGGAGCACUAUUUUCGGACAGUGAUGGCAGAGCAGUGGGUGUACUGGAUGGAGGAAAAUAACAGCUCCAGAGAGCGGCAGAGACCAGACCAUGACCCAGAACGGCACACUGUUCCCGGACAGUGAUGGCAGACCAGCAGGUGUACCCCAUGGAUGAAUAAAGAGCUCCAGAGAGCGGCAGAGACCAGACCAUGACCCAGAACGGCACACUGUUCCCGGACAGUGAUGGCAGAACAGCAGGUGCAGUGGAUGGAUGAAUAAAGAGCUCCAGAGAGCGGCAGAGACCAGACCAAGUCCCAGAACGACACACUAUUCCCGGACAGUGAUGGCAGAACAGCAGGUGUACCCCUUGGAUGAAUAAAGAGUUCCAGAGAGCGGCAGAACCCAGACCAUGACCCAGAACGGCACACUGUUCCCGGACAGUGAUGGCAGACCAGCAGGUGCAGUG
ensembl:lncRNA